CGCUGUCUACGUUCCUUGGAACAGGACGCCGCAGAGGGUGAGAGCCCCGUGCGAUGGCGCCUCCAACCGCGUAAAACUCCGCCGACGAGUCGAGUUGUUUGGGAAUGCAGCUCCAAGUGGGUGGUAAAUUCCAUCUAAAGCUAAAUACUGGCGAGAGACCGAUAGCGAACAAGUACAGUGAUGGAAAGAUGAAAAGCACUUUGAAAAGAGAGUGAAACAGCACGUGAAAUUGUUGAAAGGGAAGGGUAUGCGAUUAGCGGCCAGCAGGAGGUGCCUUCUCGUGAAAAGGCCGUGCACCGUCUUCGGACACCGUGCGCGGAGAUGGCGAGGGGGCGCCUGAGGUCUGCGACUCGAGGUUGCUGGCGUAAUGA
rnacentral:rRNA from 1 species